rnacentral:rRNA from 1 species
AUUGAACGCUGGCGGAAUGCUUUACACAUGCAAGUCGAACGGCAGCACGGACUUCGGUCUGGUGGCGAGUGGCGAACGGGUGAGUAAUAUAUCGGAACGUGCCCAGUCGUGGGGGAUAACGUAGUGAAAAUUACGCUAAUACCGCAUACGAUCUACGGAUGAAAGCGGGGGAUCGCAAGACCUCGCGCGAUUGGAGCGGCCGAUAUCAGAUUAGGUAGUUGGUGAGGUAAAGGCUCACCAAGCCAACGAUCUGUAGCUGGUCUGAGAGGACGACCAGCCACACUGGAACUGAGACACGGUCCAGACUCCUACGGGAGGCAGCAGUGGGGAAUCUUAGACAAUGGGCGCAAGCCUGAUCUAGCCAUGCCGCGUGAGCGAUGAAGGCCUUAGGGUGUAAACUGCUUUGUACGGAACGGAAAACGGUCUGGGUUAAUACCCUGGGCUAAUGACGGUACCUGCAGAAUAAAGCACCGGCUAACUACGUGCCAGCAG